AUUGGUCGCCUCCCCACCAGUGAGUCAACCCCGGUAACAGGCUACCUGUCCUGUGUUCAGAAACCAGAGUCUGUGGUCCACGCUAUGAAGGUGUUGGAGGUGCAUGAGAACCUGGAUAAGAAGCAGGGCCCAGAGGACUACGAGGAGGAUCUGAGUGAGAAGGAGAAGGCCAUCGUCAGAGAGAUGUGUAAUGUGGUGUGGAGAAAGCUGGGCGACGCAGCAGGAGAUAAGCCAUCCAUCAGACAGCAUCUCUCUGGCAACCAGUUCAAAGGCCCUCUGUAGUCCACAGCAACCAGAGAGGAAGACUAACUAUGCUCACCUGACACCACCUCCGCUCCUACUGCCUACACUACUCAUAACAUCCUGCUCCCACUGACUACAGUUCCCAUCACCCACUAUUCCCCUGGGAUAUGGGUUUUGUCCAGAUGGGAUGCAGCUUUUGUCAAAAUGAACUUUUUGUAGCAGGUUAGAACUUCCGCAGCAGGAUAAUUAACGUAGCAUGUUAGGAGAAUUACGUUUAGGUUAGCUAAUAUGCAACAAAUCCACUUUUGGCGUUAAUUUGACAAAAACUGUAUCCCUUCUAGAUAUGACCUGGUAUAUGUGACUGGACAUUAUACGACCCAGGAAAAGCACAGAAUGGAUAUCUCAGUCACCUCGCCAACUCCUCAUACAUACAUUUAUUUUGAACUUCCAGUGUUGUUGAUAACUGACUGCUACUUUCACUGAUUUUCCAUUUUCCUCGUAUUAUUGAUUUGAGGACAGUUUACAUAGUGCUGAAUAUUAUUUCAUAACUCUCCUGGACCUGGUUUCCCGAUAGAGAUGGAACUUCGACUGUUUUAGCCAUGCAUCUUUCCUACAAAGGCCCAAGAUGUAACACGCGUUUCCCCAAAACGCCACACAGAGAGAAGAUUCGCUAAGUGCCUUCGUUGGAGCGUGUUUCACACGGUGGUAGGAACGAACGAAUGGCAUUGGUGCUCUCAGAUCAGCUUUCUUCCCCAUUCAAAUCUUACCUUAACGUUAGAAUUAUUCCACAAUACUGACGAUGGAUCAGCUACCUAGAGAGAUAUUAUCACCCUAUGGCUGCAAAUAUUGAGGCGGCUUAAUCUAAUGCCUACCCUAUAAUAAGGAGAUUCAUCAAGAUGUGGAACAUCACUGUGCACAUGUUAGGCUACACAUCAUUAAAUAUAAUGAGGCAAAAAUUGCAGACAGUAGCCAAAUAGUAAAAUAAAAACAAAAUUGAAUGAACGUGAAAUUGCUUUCAGUAUCGUUGAAAUACAAUAUAUAGUAUAUUCUGUAGGUAGGCUAUUUAUCUUUUAGUGCAGUCAUCUCAGUUUUCAUUAGAAGCAUCUUUGUAUCCUUCGCUUGUUUAUUACAGUUGCAAAGACAUUGGCAACUUUGUAUUUGUAGUCAACUUUGUUCUGAAGUUAUCGGCGGUCACAGAGAGACGGAUAAACAUCUUGAUUCUUUGUUUAGUGGAGGUCUUCUGUGUAUAAAGUGACGCGGUAGGUAUCUAACGACGUACUUUGCUGUUCACAUGCCGAGCGGUCUGAUGCGGAGUCAGUAAAUAACAAGYGUUUUCAAGUCCAACUUUAGUAACGGUGGUUUUGGGAAACAGCUCUGAGAUUYAACGAUGCUCCUACGAAGUUACUAACGAUGAAAUGAGCCUUUAGAUGCUCUUGGGAAACCGGGCCCUUUUGUUUUGUUUUAUGCUGAAAAGAAACCCAGAUGAGCUCUAUAAGAAGUCCCCUAGAAUAGGACCAGUGUCACUUUAAACGGUAGAGCUGUUAUGGUUACUAUAGCAGGGCUCCAGGUAGA